rnacentral:rRNA from 1 species
UACGUAGGGUGCGAGCGUUAAUCGGAAUUACUGGGCGUAAAGCGUGCGCAGGCGGUUCGCAAAGUCUGAUGUGAAAGCCCCGGGCUCAACCUGGGAACUGCAUUGGAAACUAACGGGCUCGAGUGUGGCAGAGGGGGGUGGGAAUUCCACGUGUAGCAGUGAAAUGCGUAGAGAUGUGGAGGAACACCGAUGGCGAAGGCAGCCCCCUGGGCUAACACUGACGCUCAGGCACGAAAGCGUGGGGAGCAAACAGG